GUGCCAGCAGCCGCGGUAAUACGUAGGGAGCAAGCGUUAUCCGGAAUUAUUGGGUGUAAAGGGUGCGUAGACGGGAAAGCAAGUUGGCUGUGAAAUCCCUCGGCUUAACUGAGGAACUGCAACCAAAACUACUAUUCUUGAGUGCAGGAGAGGAAAGCGGAAUUCCUAGUGUAGCGGUGAAAUGCGUAGAUAUUAGGAGGAACACCAGUGGCGAAGGCGGCUUUCUGGACUGUAACUGACGUUGAGGCACGAAAGUGUGGCGGAGCAAACAGGAUUAGAUACCCUGGUAGUCCACACUGUAAACGAUGGAUACUAGGUGUAGGGAAUAAUAUAUUUUCUGUGCCGAAAGCUAACGCAAUAAGUAUCCCACCUGGGGAGUACGGCCGCAAGGUUGAAACUCAAAGGAAUUGACGGGGGCCCGCACAAGCAGUGGAGUAUGUGGUUUAAUUCGAAGCAACGCGAAGAACCUUAGCCGGGGCUUGACAUAUGUAGGAAUAUUUAAGAGAUUAGAUAGCUCUUCGGAGUCUACAUACAGGUGGUGCAUGGUUGUCGUCAGCUCGUGUCGUGAGAUGUUGGGUUAAGUCCCACAAACGAGCGCAACCCCUAUUUCUAGUUGCCAGCAUGUAAAGAUGGGAACUCUAGAGAGGACUGCCGGUGAGAAAAUCGGAGGAAAGGUGGGGACGACGUCAAAUCAUCAUGCCCUUUAUGUCCUGGGCUACACACGUACUACAAUGGCCGUAACAAAGAGAAACGAAACAGCGAUGUAGAGUAAAACUUAAAAAGCGGUCUCAGUUCGGAUUGAAGGCUGCAAUUCGCCUUCAUGAAGUCGGAAUUGCUAGUAAUGGCAGGUCAGCAUACUGCCGUGAAUACGUUCCCGGGCCUUGUACACACCGCCCGU
rnacentral:rRNA from 1 species